AAAAAAAAGCCGCCCGCCUCGUCUCUCCCCCGCACUCCAUCCAUCGCCUCGCCGCCGUUGCCCGCAACCCCCUGUCGACCCAAUCUCAAUCUCACAUCACCUUCCCCGACGGGACGGGACCCGGCGCCUCGUCCUCUCCACAUCUUACGCCCGCCCGCCCGAGUCUUCUUCGCCGCCAAAAGGAAAAGAUGCUCUACAAAAUCCACUGCCGUGCCCAAAUCCAAGCCCUGCAGGCCCUCUCCGAUGAGCUGGGCCACUCCAAUGACUUAAUGCUUGUGAAUCUUGUCUCUCUGGAGUCGGUGCGCAUAGCGUGCGAGUCGUAUGCACUCCUCCGCCCGCUGAUCAAGGAGUAUGUGUUCUGGGCAUGCCCGGAGCUGGAAAACCUCUCGGUCGUGGCAUGCUUGUUGCUGGAAAUCCAAAUGCUCGAGCAUGAUGUGUUACCCCAGCUCAAGGUUCAGGAAGCCAAGCUGGAACAGGGCGCCCUGGAAGCCCUCCUACUCAUGAAGAACUCAGCAAUUUUGCCCUUAGAUCUGAGGAAGCGCUUUAUGUUAGCCUUGGGCGUAUUGCUUGCCGAGGACGAUCUGGUCUUAGCCCGAGUCAAAAAGCUGAGCAUAAUGCUAAAGGAUACUGCUGAUGAUGUACUCGAAGGUAAUGGUAACAUUGCCUGGCUUGAGGAGCGUCUCCCGUUGCUGGUCCAGCUGGUCACCUAUGUGUUGGAGACCCCGGUUUGUUUCUGUGAUCCUGAUGAGUACUGAUGAGUAGACUUAUCAGCCAGCUCGAGGCUGUUGUGAUGAGUAUUUCAUUUCUUAGUGGCGUGGCAAACAGUUUAGAAUCAACCCUCCUUUUAUGUUUGGAUAUGUGUUCUCUCCGGUUGCUGUAUCAACUCUGGGUGGCUAGUGAUGGAAGCAUGCAAAUGAUAUCUACUUGUCUCAUCUCGCUUGGUCCAUUGGAGUACACAAGUAUAUAUGGUUGAGAUUCUCCUCAAACUGCAGCUUCACAUCUUGAAUGCAUAUCAUGUUAGAUUGUUACUAGUAUUGGGACUGGGUAUUUUUCUAAGCUAUUAAUACUAAACCUAGCUAUCGUGCAAAUGAUUCAAAUCAUCCUGAAAUGAGUACAACCGAUUCUGCUAUAGUCUAACAGAGGUUAUUGGCUUUUUCUUUUUGGUGUUGGACACACACAUAAUUGCUACCAAAUUACUAAUAACUUGACUGACUAAAGAUAUUAAAUUACUUAAUUAGUGAUAUUAAAUUUCUUAACUAGUGACAUUAAACUUGCCUGACUAAAGGUAUCAAAUUUGGCCUGUUUCCUAGUGAAUUAAGGCUAUCAUUUCAGAUAGCGUACCAGACCUUUUGGCACUUUUUGGGACAGCUUCAUUGGUAAACCAGAUUCGCCUCAUCAUAUUUUUCUCAUAUUGACAGUUUCUUUGUAAAGUGAAUUUGCUUGUCUUUUUUUCCAAUCACCCUCGCUGCCUGUUUUUGCUUCUGGGAUUCCUCUGUUAAGGUAUUUGUUUUCCAAAGCAAAUAUUUAUUUAUGCUUCCAAUUCCUAAGGUUAAUUCCUCUGUUCCCAGUUUUCAAAUGUGUGCAGCAUGAAACCAAUGUUGAUGACCUCAUGGAAAACACUAGGAGAUUAUAUUUAAACUUUUUGUUUUUGCAAAACUGCAUAUGCCUACUUUGAUGUUGAUAUCAGAAAAUUUCAAACUAUAUUGCAAUUUUUGUUUGCACAUCCCAUUGCCAAUGAUGCAUUUAUUCCUACCUGUGUCCCACAGCUCUGAAUCCCAUGCCGAUAGCUGUCCGUUUCAUUUAUUUUGGCAUAUCCAUGGUUUGUUGCUUAAUUCUUAACACUAUUUUGCCUAAUUUAUAAUAUAUAAUUCUUUUUGUAGUGCAUCAUUGGUUACGACUCCAGCUCGCGCGCCCUCCGUGGAUCAGGCAUCAACGGUCGCAGUUCUGAGGACGCCACCUCCUCUGGUGCUCUGCAACCAUCUUCCCCACUAAGGUGUGCGUGGUGAGCUGGGCGCUAGUCAUGGAUGGGGAUGUUGCUAUCGCUAGGGGCCGCACCGUGGGGUCUCAUCUUUGGUAUAUCGACCACCAGCUCCGAUAGCUGCACGUUCCACAGGCUACAGCAGCUCGGCAUGAUGUUGUGCGGCGCUUAGCUUCUACAUCACAGCCUCCCUCCCUGAGCAUCUCCAUCCUUUGCACUUCUCUCUUCGAGCACUUCAUACACCCUUGCAGGCUUCACCCUGAACAAAUUCUGCCUUUUGCAGCCCCCCUGUUGCACACCUUGGAAUGGUGCUUGUGCCUUUUACAGCCCCUAAGACUGCAGAUUUUAGGAUGCCAAGAUGCAGACUAUGUACAGUCGAACAGAGAAACAAGAUAUGUGCCAUGUAUAGACAAGAAUGUGCAAACCUAUGUUUUUCCAAGGGACUAGAUGUACAGGUUGUGCUUUAAAAAAAACUGCGGAUGCAAAUUUGCUUUUUUCUGAAUGCAUGUCUUUUUUAUGAACAUAUACAUGCAGUACCUAAAAGCAUUUUUCUGAGACAGAUUUGCCUUUUGUUCCUAUAAUUCGUGCUCGUAUCUGGGCCUGGGCUCGCAAUUUACUUAUGCAUUUCACUAGUGGCUUAUUGACAAUCUUAAACUGCAUCCUGGUAUAUGAAACAGUUAAUUGAAAUGCUUUACAAUCUGUUUGUACUUGUAGCAUAUGGAAUUUAAUCGUGGUACAUCCAAAGGCUCGUGUAUCUUAUGUAUCGAAAGACUUGUGUAUCAUAUGCAAUUUAAUCGUGGUACAUCCAAAAGGC
rnacentral:rRNA from 1 species